rnacentral:rRNA from 1 species
GUCCACGCCAUAAACGAUGAAUACUAGCUGUCUGGCGCAUAAAAGUGCUGGGUAGCGAAGCUAACGCGAUAAGUAUUCCGCCUGGGGAGUACGGCCGCAAGGUUAAAACUCAAAGGAAUUGACGGGGGCCCCGCACAAGCGGUGGAGCAUGUGGUUUAAUUCGAUGCAACGCGAAGAACCUUACCUACUCUUGACAUCCUUGGAAGUUCGCAGAGAUGUGAAUGUGCCGAAAGGAACCAAGUGACAGGUGCUGCAUGGCUGUCGU